rnacentral:rRNA from 1 species
GAUGAACGCUGGCGGCGUGCCUAAUACAUGCAAGUCGAGCGAACAGACGAGGAGCUUGCUCCUCUGACGUUAGCGGCGGACGGGUGAGUAACACGUGGAUAACCUACCUAUAAGACUGGGAUAACUUCGGGAAACCGGAGCUAAUACCGGAUAAUAUAUUGCACCGCAUGGUUCAAUAGUGAAAGACGGCUUUGCUGUCACUUAUAGAUGGAUCCGCGCCGCAUUAGCUAGUUGGUAAGGUAACGGCUUACCAAGGGGACGAUGCGUAGCCGACCUGAGAGGGUGAUCGGCCCCUCUGGAGCUGAGACACGGUCCAGACUCCUACGGGAGGCAGCAGUAGGGAAUCUUCCGCAAUGGGCGAAAGCCUGACGGAGCAACGCCGCGUGAGUGAUGAAGGUCUUCGGAUCGUAAAACUCUGUUAUUAGGGAAGAACAAAUGUGUAAGUAACUAUGCACGUCUUGACGGUACCUAAUCAGAAAGCCACGGCUAACUACGU